GGCUGCUUGGUGUAACGGCUAUCACGCCAGAUUUUGAUGGUGCAAUCGUGCUCAUAUCCAUUCUGGCGACCCCGGUUCGACUCCGGGAGCGGCCU